rnacentral:lncRNA from 1 species
AAUUCAGCUCCACGAUAACACCGUCCCAUUCAACUGAUUGAUCGGCGCCCCGCUACCAUCUUCUGGUCUUGCAGAUAUGCUGGAGUGUUGUGAUACGAGGAUGGACGUUCACAUGGAGUAAGUCAGUCACUGUACUGGACAGAUGCAAACAAAAUGUUGAACUUGGCCUUUCUGGUCUUCACCUCUCUUGGGACUGCUCAGGUAAGUGCAGGGCCAAUGAUCAGAACAGCCACUCCUUCAAAAUGCACUUAUGGUGCCCCUUGCCACUGGUCAACGAUCUUACAAAAGUCAACUUCCUCCUGGACAUGAAACAGCUUUAACUGAAGUGGUGAAAACGGCCUCCUUCCUUAGGUUUAAGAAGAGAGCACAUAGAGGUGGAAGGUUUUUUCCUGGAGAGGCAAUUUAGCUUAUGGAUUAAGUACACAGACUCUAAUUUGGACAAUUCAGGUUUGGUUCCUGGUUGUAUCACUAAUACACUUUGUGAUCUUCAGCACAGACUAAUGCAGGCAGAGGUUAUAAUCUCUUGUGUGCCUUUGUUUCUUGUCGGCACAGUAGGAAUGAUAACAAUAGUAUCUACUUCAUAGAGUGGAUAUAAUGAUUUAAAGAGUUAAUAUUUGUUAUUUGCUAAUAACAACGCCUGGUGUAUACUAAGU